rnacentral:piRNA from 1 species
UGAUCCUGUUUCCAAGAAGGCCU